CCAAAUCGGAGCUAGUCCGACGUUUCAAAUCCGGCAAGGUGAGGUAAAUGAUUCUUAGGUCCUUCAAGGUUCUUUCUUCCUCUCGAACUUUCCGUCUUCUUCGCUUCCUCUUUAACGAUUUGGGUUUGUUUCGGUUUUGACAGGGGCCUAGCUCGAGCUUGUUGAGCUUCGGUGUGAAAAUCUCAACAAUUUCAAAAUGGAGCUUUUUA
rnacentral:lncRNA from 1 species